rnacentral:rRNA from 1 species
GUGAACGCUGGCGGUAGGCCUAACACAUGCAAGUCGAACGGCAGCACAGUAAGAGCUUGCUCUUACGGGUGGCGAGUUGCGGACGGGUGAGGAAUACAUCGGAAUCUACUUUUUCGUGGGGGAUAACGUAGGGAAACUUACGCUAAUACCGCAUACGACCUACGGGUGAAAGCAGGGGAUCUUCGGACCUUGCGCGAUUGAAUGAGCCGAUGUCGGAUUAGCUAGUUGGCGGGGUAAAGGCCCACCAAGGCGACGAUCCGUAGCUGGUCUGAGAGGAUGAUCAGCCACACUGGAACUGAGACACGGUCCAGACUCCUACGGGAGGCAGCAGUGGGGAAUAUUGGACAAUGGGCGCAAGCCUGAUCCAGCCAUACCGCGUGGGUGAAGAAGGCCUUCGGGUUGUAAAGCCCUUUUGUUGGGAAAGAAAAGCAGCAGGUUAAUACCCCGCUGUUCUGACGGUACCCAAAGAAUAAGCACCGGCUAACUUCGUG